UAAGAAAGAAGUACGGCAAAUUGGAAAUUCAACAAAUGGAAUGAGUGGAUGACAACUUAUCCUCACUUUCUCCCAAUGAACCCCACGUGUAGACCACUUCUCUUAUCUUUUUCUCUUCUCCACCACUCUUUUGGAGGUUGCUUUCCAGCAAUCUUAUAUGGAAGCUCUAGAUUUUCCUCUCUAUUCUUUGCCGUCAUAAAAACAAAGGUUUCAUGGUACUUGGUGGUGGACCUAGUAAUUUGACUUGCUUGCUUGUGUAAUGUCCAACUGAGGUAAAUUGGUGAACUUUAUGAGGUAAGUAUAUUUUUAAUGGGGUUUUUGUAAAACAAUCAUUAUUGCACAUUUGCACUCAAUUAUUUUAUGGUUAAACCCCAAUUUGGAACAUUGUCCUUGGUUUUCCUAAAAUGUACUAUGUGUACUAUUCUUGUUAGUUAAUCGUUUAUGGAAAAUGCAGGAAACAUGGCCAGUAAAUUUAUAUUUGAAAUUGCAUAUAAAGAAAUGCAUGAUUUGUUGGCAUGAAAAUUCUAAAGAUGUUUUAUAUUGACUUGUGUUAUUUGGAAAAUUGAUAGAAAAUUUCCUGACAAAGAAUGGUUUUGAAAUAUUGGUUAUUGAAGGUUUUCUUGGAAUUACUUGGAAAUAUGUUAUGAAAUUUAAUUACAUCAUACUUGUGAGCUCAUUAUGUUGUUCGUGCGUGUGUGCUGUGAAUAUGUGAUAAUUGUGAUUACCCAAUUGGAUGCAGCAGUCUUUGUGACGUUGGCAUGGAAGCACUUAAGUCUUUGUGACACGGUGGCCCAAUAAUUGCAGUCUUUGUGACAUGGCCAGUAGCACAACACCCAAGUCUUUGUGAUACGGUGGUUUAUAUGGUGACACCUGCGUCUAUGUGAGACAAUGGCCAGUAACUAGUACUUGCAGUCUUUGUGACAUGGCCAGUGGUGCAACACCUGAGUCUUUGUGACAUGAUGGCUUAAUAUAAUGACACCUGAGUUUGUGUGACAUGAUAGCUAGUACCUAUUACUUGCAGUCUUUGUGUGGCACUUGAGUCUGUGUGACACUGUAGCCAAUGCCUGGUACUUGCGGUCUUUGUGACACAGCUAGUAUCAUGACACUUGAGUUCAUGCAACUUGUCUAUGUGACAUUGGUGACUAGAUAUAUUAGCCUAUGUGGAGUCUAGAAAAUGUUGGAUUCUAUUGGAGGUUUAGAUCUGACAUAAAGACUUUUUUGGAGUUCCAAAUCGAUAAUUGACCUGAAUUCUAUACAAACUCAACCUGUUCUUUGUUCCAAGCCAUGUAAGGAAAUAUACAUUUUAUAUUUUGAAAUAGGU